UCGAGCGCGCCUUUCGGGGCGAGCGGCGGACGGGUUAGUAACGCGUGGGAAUAUACCCUUUGGUACGGAAUAGCCUCUGGAAACGGAGAGUAAUACCGUAUGAGCCCUUCGGGGGAAAGAUUUAUCGCCAAAGGAUUAGCCCGCGUUAGAUUAGGUAGUUGGUGGGGUAAUGGCCUACCAAGCCUACGAUCUAUAGCUGGUUUUAGAGGAUGAUCAGCAACACUGGGACUGAGACACGGCCCAGACUCCUACGGGAGGCAGCAGUGGGGAAUCUUGGACAAUGGGGGCAACCCUGAUCCAGCCAUGCCGCGUGAGUGAUGAAGGCCUUAGGGUCGUAAAGCUCUUUCGCCUGUGAAGAUAAUGACGGUAGCAGGUAAAGAAACCCCGGCUAACUCCGUGCCAGCAGCCGCGGUAAUACGGAGGGGGUUAGCGUUGUUCGGAAUUACUGGGCGUAAAGCGCACGUAGGCGGACUGGAAAGUUGGGGGUGAAAUCCCGGGGCUCAACCCCGGAACUGCCUCCAAAACUAUCAGUCUAGAGUUCGAGAGAGGUGAGUGGAAUUCCAAGUGUAGAGGUGAAAUUCGUAGAUAUUUGGAGGAACACCAGUGGCGAAA
rnacentral:rRNA from 1 species